UACGUAGGGGUCUAGCGUUGUCCGGAAUCAUUGGGCGUAAAGAGCUCGUAGGCGGUCUGUCGCGUCUGCUGUGAAAACCCGAGGCUCAACCUCGGGCCUGCAGUGGGUACGGGCAGACUAGAGUGUGGUAGGGGAGACUGGAAUUCCUGGUGUAGCGGUGGAAUGCGCAGAUAUCAGGAGGAACACCAAUGGCGAAGGCAGGUCUCUGGGCCACAACUGACGCUGAGGAGCGAAAGCGUGGGGAGCGAACAGG
rnacentral:rRNA from 1 species